rnacentral:rRNA from 1 species
UACAGAGGUGUCAAACGUUGUCCGGAAUUACUGGGCGUAAAGGGCGCGUAGGCGGCCUUAUAAGUCAUUUGUGAAAGCUCUGGGCUCAACCCAGGAAUUGCAAGUGAUACUGUAAGGCUUGAGUUCGGUAGAGGAGGGCGGAAUUCCAGGUGUAGCGGUGAAAUGCGUAGAUAUCUGGAGGAACACCCGUGGCGAAGGCGGCUCUCUGGGCCUUACCUGACGCUGAGGAGCGAAAGCGUGGGUAGCGAACAGG